rnacentral:lncRNA from 1 species
CGAGGGUGUAGCAUUGGCAAGCAACGAGGAGAUCAGACUGGCUGCCUCAAAGUGUUUAUGGGAGAGUGGGUACAGUGGGAGAAGAGAAUGCAAACUUUGGACUUUCGAGAGUGACCUCUCAGCUGCCACCUGGGAGGAGCUGGAGGACAAAGGACUUCACAGAAGAAUGGAGUCCCAAAGAAACAGCUUCAGGAACUGAGGAGAGCCAGAAAUUUAAUGUAUUUAGGGCUCCCUUGUGAAAACACAAAAACAAAAAUAAAAAUGCCUCCCGCUGCCUCGACAUCUCUAUUCCACUGAUGCCCGACCAUUCUUUUGAAAAACAAAC